GCAUGGGCACCCACUGCACGCUGUGUCGUCUAGCAUCUUCUAGAAUAACAGAAUAUCGACACAAAACGAAACAUACAAUUUCGCGUUGCUAUCUACCCUUGGGGACAGGAUGACGAAACUACUAGGUUAGCAUUACAGAAGCAUAGGCAGGGCAAAUAGACCAAUAGAACAUUCAAUUACACGGGCUGAAAUUGACAGGAAACUCGGAAUUUUAGCGUCAGAGACAAUUGUUUCCAUUGGUGGCUUCUGGUCGACCCCUGCUAAUAUUGCUAUUAUUUAAUUGAUUUUUACUGGUGCCAAAUAAUUUGGUAAUCGUAUAUCUUAUAGUUUUGCUUUCUUGGACUCUGCUGUGGCGAAAAAAAGAAGAUAAUGUUAAUGCACUUCAAAGGUUGCGACCAACUAUUUACGGAUCACGCGACAAAUGAAAUGACAAUCUGUUGUUCACUAUUUAUUUGAUGGAAAGUGGUUUUCUUCUCGCAAAAUAAUCUCGAGACUUGGAGACAAUGUGCAAGCUACCGAUGAUCUUACCUCUGGAACUGGGCACGUGACUGUCACGUGAUUUUAUCUUCUGAAUUUGCAUUAGAAAUGGACGAGUGACAGAAACAGAAACACCGAUUCAAAACCAAAUAAUUGUGGUUAAAACAGUUGAAAUAAUGUAUGACAUGUCGUACAGAUGCGAGAUAAUUUUGAUAAAAGUGUUAUUACAAGGUGGGCAAACUUUGUCCAAAUUUGGACCAUGCCACUUUAACCAUGUUUGUUUGGGGGGGGGGGGAUCUUAGUGUGUGUGUGCACCUUUAGCUAUCGCUUUGAAGUAUUACUUUUUACAGUUUUGGGGUUCAUUUGUUCUUAAUACACGGAUUGAUCAACUUUUAGUUUCAUGAAUCAUUGACAAAAUACCUCAAUUUAAAAAAUUGAAAGGUAUGCCCGCGUGAAGUGUCGCAGUUCAUACCCGUAUGUAAAACUUAUACGGUUGCUUCCAAUUUUGAUGCACCAGAUACGCAUUUCGACAAAUGAUGUCUCUUCAGUGAUGCUCAAGCCGAAAUUUUGGAAAUCCGAAAUAACAAUAAACUUGUAUAUAUUUUCAAAAAUAAAACAUAUUUUAUAUA